rnacentral:misc_RNA from 1 species
UAAACAUGCUGACGUGUCACAACGUAAGACUGUUCUCUUUUUCUUUCUGCCGGCAUUCAAAGGCCCGAGGUCUUUUUCUUUCCGCUUGUCAUCUUCUUUCCCUUUCUCCUCUCUCCCUCCCCCUUCUUUGUUGAGUGAAUGUGAGCUGCGUGUGUGUGGCGGCUUCUGUGUGUUGGCUGUGGUUCAUUCUUGAGCUGCAAUCGGCGCCAGCGUUGUCUGCACUGGGUUGGGGGGAGCGUGGGCCGUGGCUUCGUAACGUGGCUCUGCAGUGACCCACGUAAUACCGCCGCCAUCGAUGCAUCUUUCCACCUCAGCAUGCUCUUCCGUGGCUCUGGCUACUUUGAUCUGCUGUCAUGCUCAGCUCAUCUCCCCUUCUCGGCCGUUGCUUAAUGCUCACACAAUCAGGCACGCACGCAUGCACGUACGCCACAGAUUACAGAAAGAAGCAGGUGCAAAAGCAGGUUGCUCUCUUCAUUCCUCUCUUACCGCCGCCAUCACCCUCACCAUUUCGACAUUGCACGUAGCGCUAAUUUCUCUAUGCGUCCAUACAUCUUCUUGCUCACCUAUGCUGCCGAGCGCAGCCUCCGGCGUUCGCACUCCUCCUUCCUUUGAUUCCCUUUCCUGUCGGUAGAGUGUUUCUGUAUGUGCGCGCGUGUGGGUGUGCGAGCGUUCAUCGAUGUUUGCAGCUGACCGCGUAGACGUCACCUAUUCGCUGUUUCUUCUUUUUUUCUCUUCGCCAACGACGUUGACUGCGUUUGGGUUCAUUUUUAUUGUUUCACGUUCGUUGUUUCUUUUUCUGAAUGCCUUGUCAUUAUUAUUUUUUUUCGACCCUCUGCCACCCUUCCUCUCUCUCCCCUCCUCUCUCUCCCCCUCCUCCUUUGCUUCACAUUAUCACUCACUCCUCCUCUUUCUCCGCCGUCUCCACAAUCACACACGCACACCCCACUUUUUGUGGGCUCGCUGUCGUUAGUCGUGAGGGCUCAGCCGCCUCGCUUGUCCUUUGUUCGUGUUUUGUUUGCUCACUGUCCCAUCCUGCGUGGCUGUCUUUCUGCGGCUUUCUUUUCCGCUGCUGCUUUUGUCCGUUCUUCUCCUCCUUUGUUCUUGCCCCAUCUCCCUCCUUUCCGUUUUCAUCAGCGAGGCGCUUUCGCGGAGAUUUUUGUUUUACAUUUCUUGAUGUACUCGUGCUUACCGUAUUGAUCUGGACGCCCCGAAGACGGAGGGUGGGGUGGGGUGGGGAAGUAGUUUGGCACACACCUCGGUGUGUGCGGUGCCAGGGAUCAGUGCCCGCUCUGUGGGGAAAUCCUGGCAGCCCCUCCUCCUCCUAUCUCCGCGAAUGCCGAACUACCUCCGGUAGUGGCAAGAUCAAGUACCCGCAGCGUAGGGAAGUCAGUGCGAUGUAUUUGCUAUUCAUGCCAGCGGGCAGGUCCUGGAUGGGCGUGGCGUCGGAGCGACGCGCGACCGUGAACAGGGUUGUGCCAUCCAUAUAGUAGGCAGGGUGUCAGCGUGACUCAAACGUGGCCCAACCGUCCCUCGCACUGCCUGCGGGGCGGGGUGUGGGUGGGUAGGGUUUGAGGUAGGGGUCGUGCUCCGAUGACUGCGUCGGUGCAUUGCUGGAGCGCGCGUCUGCACGACUGCUUCGCACCACGCGAGGGGCACCCCUGUGGCAGGCAGGCCAGGAGUUGCUCGGGUGGCGCAUGACCUCAUGUUGUACGGCCGAGCGUUGGACACUGAAAUAGCAAGGAGUUGCUGCGGCGGCGGUCGUGUUUGCGUCUCCCACGUCGGUGUGUACUGUUCUACGAAGAGUAGUGACUCCCCACGGACGCGACUCGAGUGGGUGCAUGAGCGCUUCCCUUUUCCAAGAAGAAGAGACUAUUUCCGCUCCUUCUUGCGGGCGUGCCCUCUGCGCGCCAGCCUGAAGGAAUAAAUGUUAGGUUCCGUUACGUCCAUUUUGUUUUUGUUUUGCUUUCCAGCGCAAUAAGCACAGAUUUCGACUUAUGUGUACACCCAGAUCCAUGUACGCGGUAUGUCGCCCUUGAGAGCUCUCCGCUGACGGGCACAUCUACAGGCAAGACAUGCGCAUACCCACACGCGUCAACACGAAGAAAAGAGCGAUUUCAUGCUUCUCUCGAAGUCCUCCUUGUGCGCAUGCAUGCAUGUGGACGUUUUGAAAAACAUUACGUCGGCCUUGCUUUUGGAUGCUGUCGUCGCUCCCGCCGAGUGCCGGACUCGUGCGCGUCUGCUUUUGUGAGUGAACGAGAAAGAUCUUCGCACGCGUGGGGUGCUUGUACGUGUGUGUGUGUGUGUGUGCCAGAGAGUCGUUGAGUCUGUGUAUCUGUGCCAUUGUCUGGAUCGUCGAGCCACCGGUAUUCGGAGCGGCAUUUGCCUUCCUUUUCCUUUGCUCUCCAGUUGCUGUUUUUUCGUUGUUGUUUUCGAAGGUUGGUGGCAGGAGCGAACGAGGGAGGGACGACGGAAACACGAUGUGAUGAGGAGGCGCGAGUCAAAGUGCUCGCCACUAUUCCGAUGGCAUGCUCCACCAGCCACUUGUCUUUUCCUCGUUUGUCGCUCUCGUAAUCAUUUUUGGAUUUCGGAGAGUCGAGUCAUACGCGUGUUGCACCCCUCUCUUCUCCCCAGCCCCCAUUUGGCUGCUUGCCACGGCAGAAAUCCCUGGGUGUCGGAAAACGGGUGUGCUCAAGUCUGCCUAUCCGUGAGUAGCGCUACCCGCUGGCGGUGUGAGUGCAGCAGAGUUCUCGCGGAGAGCUCUGCCAGCGCUGGAGGUAUCGAGAGCUCGAGUGGGGAAAGACCAGUCUGGUGCGCUCUUCCGCGGCAGUAGGCCAUUCGCCACCUACUACGAAGAGUCGGGAGCGUGCAUGGAAACUCAUCGUGCGUAUCUCUUGGCAUCAUAACCCCUCUCUUUUUUUUUAGUAUUUCUAUUAUUAUUGUUGUGAUGGAUGAUUCAGCGUUGGGCAUAAAUCUGAUGUGCCUAUGCACAUGUUUUGGGUCACUGUCCGUGGAUGUUUGUGGCACCUGUGCCUCUCUAUCUAUAUCUCUAUCUGUAUAUAUAUAUAUAUAUAUAUAUACGUUGACGUUAGCGCAGGAAUGCGUACUAGAUAAUGCGAAUGAAACGAAGCGGUACGUCGUGCACAUUGCCAUAUCGCCUUAUUUUUGUUGAGGCAGCGCUGGUGUUCAGUGCUUGAGUGUGACUUGACACAUCUGAAGGCGAGAAGCACCCAUCCAUGUCAAGAAGUAGCAUGCAGCGCCCCCGUCACUUCAUUUGCUAGUCAUUCUACUCUUUAUCGUCAACGGUUUCGCUGCCUUUGUUGCGUCUCCUAUAGUUCCUCUUUCUCCUUCUCCUGUUUACCUUGAGGUGCACCCCAG